AGCGAACGCUGGCGGCAGGCUUAACACAUGCAAGUCGAACGCCCCGCAAGGGGAGUGGCAGACGGGUGAGUAACACGUGGGAACGUACCCUUUGGUUCGGAAUAACUUGGGGAAACUCAAGCUAAUACCGGAUAAGCCCUUAUGGGGAAAGGUUUACUGCCGAAGGAUCGGCCCGCGUCUGAUUAGCUAGUUGGUGAGGUAAUGGAUCACCAAGGGGACGAUCAGUAGCUGGUCUGAGAGGAUGAUCAGCCACACGGGGACUGAGACACGGCCCAGACUCCUACGGGAGGCAGCAGUGGGGAAUAUUGGAGAAUGGGGGCAACCCUGAUCCAGCCAUGCCGCGUGAGUGAUGAAGGCCGUAGGGUUGUAAAGCUCUUUUACCCGGGACGAUAAUGACUGUACCGGGAGAAUAAGCCCCGGCUAACUUCGUGCCAGCAGCCGCAGUAA
rnacentral:rRNA from 1 species